AGCUAACGCGCCUGCUCCAUUUACUCGCUAACGCAUCCGCUGAAGGAAAAAACACUCCCGAACCAUAAACGAUUCCAGAUCGAUGUUGAGGGGAAGGGACUAAUCGAGUCCCGAUCCAGGCUGAGGGCGACGGGACUGCAUCGAUUCCUCUCCAGAAUCGAGCCGCAGAGAGGGGUGGCCGGUUCCAUCUAGUAAAGGUGCCUAUGUGCGUCCGUCCACCUGAGGUCUGGGAUGGGAUCGAGUCGAUCCGAGCGAUAGGAGGAGCGGGAUGCAGGAGCCAAGUACAUCCGGUCGAUCCCACCAAUCAGAGGAGCGGGAUUAAAUGGUAGACGCCUCGUGUACUGGUGAUGUUCAUGCUACGCCACGGUUGUCUACUGGUUUGGAUUUGCAUUUUACACAGGCGUAUGAUUAGUAUACCGGUACAAUUAGGAGCUUGUGCUCAAAAUUCUUAUCCAUGUUAAUCCACGCUUGGGUUGUAAUUCAUGUCUCUUUAUUUUAGAUAGCUAGAUUUCAUUGGUUAAAGACCAUUUGGUGUAGUGUAUUGAUCUCUCAUAUCCAUCUUUGUGGUAGAGGUUCAUGAAAUCUGUAGAGCAGAUGCUUAUGCUUCCAAUGUUGAAAAGUUAGAAGAAGAUGGUUUUCCUGCAUAUUACAUUUUCACAUAUUUAGAGAAGAAAAUUCUCGGACUUUUUCACAAAGGAGUAGUACUCAUAUUACUUCAGGGACAACGGUAAGAACGCUUUUUAACUCGAGAUAGAAGAAUACUACUUAAGGAGUAUGAGCAAUGUCAUCCAUGUCCAUAGGUAUAUGAUUAUAGAGCUAACUCAACCAAUGUCUGACAUGUCCGCAGGGUACAUCAUAUAGAAUUAACUGAACCGAUAUUUUGCAUGUUCAUACUUCAUAGCGCACAUGAUGCUUUGUCAGACAGGUAAUAAUACUACCUCUGUAAAGAAAUAUAAGAGCGUUUACGUCACUACUUUAGUGAUCUGAACGCUCUUAUAAUUUGAGUACAAGUUAAUGUCUUCUAUGAUCGACCGAAGGAUGCAUUGUCUCUUUUUAACCAUGGUAUAAUUAGGCACAAGAGAGUAAGAACGAAUGAGCUUUAUCCAAACAGAGCAUAGUACUACAAAUUAACAUCUUACAUAGUGUACCUUGCAUGUUCAUAGAGCACAUGAUAUAGGACUGAUGCUACACUGUCUUACUCUAACUACCCUAAUAAGCAACAUUAGUCAGCAGAUGCUAGACUGAUGAACUGGCACAUGGAGCUACAGAGACAUAAGAAACUGAUUGGGCUUAGAAACACAUACUCCUAGCAACGUUAUACAUGAACCUGAGACAUGGAAAUAGGGUCACAACACUCGCCCUAGGACGUCGUUCAUGUAGGGGCAAACCUAGGAUGCCGCCAAUGACCUUUAAGGUUGGAGCCCAGCUCACUGACGGAGUGGAUACCAUCUCCGCUGCAUCAAAGUUGCUCCCUGCUGCACCGGUUUGAGUAUGGACCCCUUCGCCGUCAGCGAACAGAGAGCGGCACCCUAACCCGCUGCACCUUCAGAGAAAAGACUGGUAUUUUACAGAUCCGGAUUUUCAAGGAAAUACUUGAACUCAUCUUGGUUGAAAGCAAGUAAAUGCUGCUGGGUAAUGUCCUACAUAUGCUCUUUGUUGUUUCUUGUCCUACCAACUCGAUUGUUUUUUAAGAGCAUGAUGGAUAGACAGAUGAUCUUAUAUUCUUGAAGUGGAACAGAACAAUCACAAUAUGUGGAUGCUCAAAAUCACUACCAUGUUUAUUUGUUCAAAUAUCUAGUGAUCAUUCUGGAACUCACAUAGCUAGAUGAUAAUAGGGGUGCAUGUGAAGACGGUAGGAAGCUUAUUUCCAUCUUACCAUGAAACUUCUCCCAAUUACAUACUCCUAUGUUUAAGCUAUUGCAAAAAUAUUCAGUGUGGUUGGCCAGUUGAAUUAUUAUUUAUGUGUUACCAUGUAUUCACUUCUGACCCUUACAGUGUUCUCAGGCGCUUCCUCAGUUCCCCUAUUUUAUAUUGUCUGGUAAGUCAUUUACCUAUUUGGUACGUUCGUGUCUAUCAUUUUUGUGAGCACACAUUAUUCUGAUGUGCAGCCUACCUACAAUGGAACCGUAAUUUAGAGGAAAGAAACUUCCAUGGUAUUGAAUUUAACAUCUUUGUAGCUUACACAACUAUGUUGAUAGUCAAUCCCUUUUAUGCAUGACCAGAAUAACCAAAAUUUUAAAAGAAAAACUGCAUAAAUCAUGAUUCUGGAUAAGUGGAGUUCAUUUUGCAUCAUUUUGAAGGCCAUAAUAAUAACCUUUGCAGAAUUUAAUUUUCAUCUGAUUCCCCUAUUACGUAAGCAUCGAAAAAAGAACUACCCCCAAUCAACGUUUGCACUAUAAUAACCAACUGAGUGAAAGUAGUGUGCGGUGAAAAACCCAACAAUUACAACAAAAGCGCGGGUGGACAACACCAGCCAGUGAAGGAGUCUUACACGUGUGGAUUCAUGAGACAUGUUUCUACCUGCACAUAAGCUUACGAUGCCUUUCAUUUUUCUGUGUAAUUUUGGCAAUGUAAAGUUUUAAGCAGCGAUUGCAGUGAAAAUAUGGUGCUUUCAGUUUUCUUCUUUAUUUUCCUGCCAGAUUGCUGCACAUUGCUGCGCAGGAAGGGCAAUAUAUUGCUUGGUAUUUUAGCAGGGUACCGGAUGCUGGAGUAAAUCCUUAUGGUCGAAUAUGUAUGGGCAAUGGGAGAACUAUCAUGGCUUCUGUCCAUUCAGGUUUCCUAUUGUUGCAUCAGUUAAUUGCUCAAAUGUUUCCCUAAUUCUUAUUCUUGAUCUAUGUUUUGACAACUAUGCAUUGUAGCAUGCAUUAUAAAAAACAACUUCUAAUACGCCGGAGGCAGAUUUUCGAUCGAAUCGUAACUGUAAUUUCUCAAAAUUUGUUAAAGACGGGCGCGGCAACGCACACCAUCAACGGUCUAGUCCUUUAUAUAGCAAAGGAUAAGCCUGGACGAACUCUUAUAUAAAGCAAAGCGCUCCCGAGGACACAUGGGAAUUGUUGUCAAGUUAGUUUUCAUCAUGCUCAUACGAUUCAUGUUUGUUAUUUUGAUAAUUUGAUAUGUGGGUGGCCCGAUGCUUGGUGUUGUCUUUAUGUCGGUGCAACAAACCCUGGGUGGGUUUGUUGCCCAGACUGUGCACAUGCCUAAGUACAAGAUUGCAGUACCCAAGAUCAGACCAAGCAGUAGAUAUCAGUUAUUUGGAGAAUCAAAGUGCAGAUCAAGAAGACCAAGUCAAGAUAGAGAUACAAGAUAUCACUAAGGGAAAAACCUCCCUUGUCGGGCAGGCGAGCAUGGCGAGGACGAGAAUUGCCCCGAAGGCAAGCCUCUAGACCGCCUCGACAGGCUUGCCGGGCACAGCGACGAUAGACUGCCCUGCCAAAGCUUCACCGCUCCACCUCAUAGCGACACAAGUCAUCGAUUAGUGCGGUGUCAAGCCCCUAAGUGACUAAGUGGCUGCUUCUUACCACAUGGCAGCCACUUCCUAUCGGAUUUCGGGUUCCGGCAGACCCGUGAGGUUCGAACACUGGGGUGCGCGCGGAGAUCUCUCCCAUACCGAUCUACGUCCAAUCUCCUCGUGC